UACGUAGGUGGCAAGCGUUAUCCGGAUUUAUUGGGUUUAAAGGGUGCGCAGGCGGGGGAUUAAGUCAGCGGUGAAAUUUUGCAGCUUAACUGUAAAAGUGCCUCCGAAACUGGUUUCCUUGAGUGUAGAUGAAGUAGGCGGAAUUUGUGGUGUAGCGGUGAAAUGCAUAGAUAUCACGAGGAACUCCGAUUGCGCAGGCAGCUUACUAAACUACUACUGACGCUCAAGCACGAAGGCGUGGGGAUCAAACAGGAUUAGAUACCCCCGUAGUCCCUGA
rnacentral:rRNA from 1 species